AGCGAACGCUGGCGGCAUGCUUAACACAUGCAAGUCGCACGGGCGGGGGCAACUCCGUCAGUGGCGGACGGGUGAGUAACGCGUAGGUAUCUAUCCUUGGGUGGGGGAUAACGGUUGGAACGACUGCUAAUACCGCAUGACAACUGAGGUUUAAAAGGUCGCGAGUCGCCCUGAGGAGGAGCCUGCGUACGAUUAGCUAGUUGGUGGGGUAAAGGCCUACCAAGGCGACGAUCGUUAGCUGGUCUGAGAGGAUGAUCAGCCGCAUUGGGACUGAGACACGGCCC
rnacentral:rRNA from 1 species